rnacentral:rRNA from 1 species
UACGAAGGGGGCUAGCGUUGUUCGGAAUUACUGGGCGUAAAGCGCACGUAGGCGGAUACUUAAGUUAGGGGUGAAAUCCCGGGGCUCAACCCCGGAACUGCCUUUAAUACUGGGUAUCUCGAGUUCGAGAGAGGUGAGUGGAAUUCCGAGUGUAGAGGUGAAAUUCGUAGAUAUUCGGAGGAACACCAGUGGCGAAGGCGGCUCACUGGCUCGGUACUGACGCUGAGGUGCGAAAGCGUGGGGAGCAAACAGG